UUGCUCCUUUGAAGUUAGCGGCGGACGGGUGAGUAACACUAUGGGUAACCUACCUAUAAGACUGGAAUAACUUCGGGAAACCGGAGCUAAUGCCGGAUAACAUUUGGAACCGCAUGGUUCUAAAGUAAAAGAUGGUUUUGCUAUCACUUAUAGAUGGACCCGCGCCGUAUUAGCUAGUUGGUAAGGUAACGGCUUACCAAGGCAACGAUACGUAGCCGACCUGAGAGGGUGAUCGGCCACACUGGAACUGAGACACGGUCCAGACUCCUACGGGAGGCAGCAGUAGGGAAUCUUCCGCAAUGGACGAAAGUCUGACGGAGCAACGCCGCGUGAGUGAUGAAGGUUUUCGGAUCGUAAAACUCUGUUAUUAGGGAAGAACAAAUGUGUAAGUAACUGUGCACAUCUUGACGGUACCUAAUCAGAAAGCCACGGCUAACUACGUGCCAGCAGCCGCGGUAAUACGUAGGUGGCAAGCGUUAUCCGGAAUUAUUGGGCGUAAAGCGCGCGUAGGCGGUUUCUUAAGUCUGAUGUGAAAGCCCACGGCUCAACCGUGGAGGGUCAUUGGAAACUGGGAAACUUGAGUACAGAAGAGGAAAGUGGAAUUCCAUGUGUAGCGGUGAAAUGCGCAGAGAUAUGGAGGAACACCAGUGGCGAAGGCGACUUUCUGGUCUGUAACUGACGCUGAUGUGCGAAAGCGUGGGGAUCAAACAGGAUUAGAUACCCUGGUAGUCCACGCCGUAAACGAUGAGUGCUAAGUGUUAGGGGGUUUCCGCCCCUUAGUGCUGCAGCUAACGCAUUAA
rnacentral:rRNA from 1 species